CCCAGACUCCUACGGGAGGCAGCAGUGGGGGAUAUUGCACAAUGGGGGGAACCCUGAUGCAGCGGCGCCGCGUGGGUGAAGGAGCGUUUCGGCGCGUAAAGCCCUAUCGGCAGGGAAGAAGGAGGACGGUACCUGACUAAGAAGCCCCGGCUAACUACGUGCCAGCAGCCGCGGUAAUACGUAGGGGGCAAGCGUUAUCCGGAUUUACUGGGUGUAAAGGGGGCGCAGACGGCAGCGCAAGCCAGGAGUGAAAGCCCGGGGCCCAACCCCGGGACUGCUCUUGGAACUGCGCGGCUGGAGUGCAGGAGGGGCAGGCGGAAUUCCUGGUGUAGCGGUGAAAUGCGUAGAUAUCAGGAGGAACACCGGUGGCGAAGGCGGCCUGCUGGACUGCGACUGACGUUGAGGCCCGAAAGCGUGGGGAGCAAACAGGAUUAGAUACCCCCGUA
rnacentral:rRNA from 1 species